AAUUCUCAACCAUUCUCAUUUUCUCUUUAAGAGAGAGAGAGACAUGGCUUGGAGUUGGGAGUUGCUGGCAGGGAAACUGUCAGCUCUCCUUAAAUAUAUUAGCGAUCGAGUUGGCUAGUCUUUGACAUGCACGGCCUCUGACGUGAUAAUGAUCGUCAUGGCUGGAGUGUCUUUCCUAGACUAUGUACACAGAUAGCUUCUAAUUUACAUUGGGAAAGAAAGGGAAGAGUUUAGCUACUAGGCAGUCUAACGAUUUAGGCUGGCGAACCCAAGCUUGAUCUUUCUUUCUCUAUCUUCAUUG
rnacentral:misc_RNA from 1 species